rnacentral:rRNA from 1 species
AAUCAACGCUGGCGGCGUGCCUAACACAUGCAAGUCGAACGCGAAAACCCCGCAAGGGGUUAGUAGAGUGGCAAACGGGUGAGUAACACGUGGGUGACCUGCCUUCGAGUGGGGGAUAACGUCCCGAAAGGGACGCUAAUACCGCAUGACAUCCUGCUUUUGGAAAAGCGGAGAUCAAAGCUGGGGAUUCGCAAGAACCUGGCGCUUGAAGAGGGGCCCGCGCCUGAUUAGCUAGUUGGUAGGGAACGGCCUACCAAGGCGACGAUCAGUAUCCGGCCUGAGAGGGCGGACGGACACACUGGGACUGAGACACGGCCCAGACUCCUACGGGAGGCAGCAGUGGGGAAUUGUUCGCAAUGGGCGAAAGCCUGACGACGCAACGCCGCGUGGAGGACGAAGAUCUUCGGGUCGU